rnacentral:rRNA from 1 species
AUUGAACGCUGGCGGAAUGCUUUACACAUGCAAGUCGAACGGCAGCACGGACUUCGGUCUGGUGGCGAGUGGCGAGCGGGUGAGUAAUGUAUCGGAACGUGCCCAGUCGUGGGGGAUAACGUAGUGAAAAUUACGCUAAUACCGCAUACGAUCUAUGGAUGAAAGCGGGGGAUCGCAAGACCUCGCGCGACUGGAGCGGCCGAUAUCAGAUUAGGUAGUUGGUGGGGUAAAGGCCCACCAAGCCAAAGAUCUGUAGCUGGUCUGAGAGGACCACCAGCCACACUGGAACUGAGACACGGUUCAGACUCCUACGGGAGGCAGCAGUGGGGAAUUUUGGACAAUGGGCGAAAGGCUGAUCCAGCCAUUCCGCGGGCAGGAUGAAGGCCCUCGGGUUGUAAACUGCUUUUGUACAGAACGAAAAGGUUUCUACUAAUACUAGGAGCUCAUGACGGUACUGUAAGAAUAAGCACCGGCUAACUACGUGCCAGCCGCCGCGGUAA